UUGAUCUCAAAUCAGGUAGGACUACCCGCUGAACUUAAGCAUAUCAAUAAGCGGAGGAAAAGAAACUAACAAGGAUUCCCCUAGUAACUGCGAGUGAAGCGGGAAGAGCUCAAAUUUAAAAUCUGGCGUGCCUCUGGUCGUCCGA
rnacentral:rRNA from 1 species